rnacentral:rRNA from 1 species
CACGUAGGCGGAUAUCUAAGUCAGGGGUGAAAUCCCAGAGCUCAACUCUGGAACUGCCUUUGAUACUGGGUAUCUUGAGUAUGGAAGAGGUAAGUGGAAUUCCGAGUGUAGAGGUGAAAUUCGUAGAUAUUCGGAGGAACACCAGUGGCGAAGGCGGCUUACUGGUCCAUUACUGACGCUGAGGUGCGAAAGCGUGGGGAGCAAACA